rnacentral:rRNA from 1 species
AGUGAACGCUGGCGGCAGGCCUAACACAUGCAAGUCGAGCGGAUGAAGGGAGCUUGCUCCUGGAUUCAGCGGCGGACGGGUGAGUAAUGCCUAGGAAUCUGCCUGGCAGCGGGGGAUAACGUCCGGAAACGGGCGCUCAUACCGCAUACGUCCUGACGGCGAAAGUGGGGGAGCUUCGGACCUCACGCUAUCAGGUGAGCCUAGGUCGGAUUAGCUAGUUGGUGGGGUAAAGGCCUACCAAGGCGACGAUCCGUAACUGGUCUGAGAGGAUGAUCAGUCACACUGGAACUGAGACACGGUCCAGACUCCUACGGGAGGCAGCAGUGGGGAAUAUUGGACAAUGGGCGAAAGCCUGAUCCAGCCAUGCCGCGUGUGUGAAGAAGGUCUUCGGAUUGUAAAGCACUUUAAGUUGGGAGGAAGGGCAGUAAGUUAAUACCUUGCUGUUUUGACGUUACCAACAGAAUAAGCACCGGCUAACUUCGUG